rnacentral:rRNA from 1 species
UACAGAGGUCCCAAGCGUUGUUCGGAUUCAUUGGGCGUAAAGGGUGCGUAGGCGGCGCGGUAAGUCGGGUGUGAAAUCUCGGAGCUUAACUCCGAAACUGCAUUCGAUACUGCCGUGCUUGAGGACUGGAGAGGAGACUGGAAUUUACGGUGUAGCGGUGAAAUGCGUAGAUAUCAGGAGGAACACCGGUGGCGAAGGCGGGUCUCUGGGCCGAUACUGACGCUGAGGAGCGAAAGCGUGGGGAGCGAACGGG